rnacentral:rRNA from 1 species
CAGGUCUUGACAUCCCACUGACCGGCUUAGAGAUAGGCUUUUCCCUUCGGGGACAGUGGUGACAGGUGGUGCAUGGUUGUCGUCAGCUCGUGUCGUGAGAUGUUGGGUUAAGUCCCGCAACGAGCGCAACCCUUGAUCUUAGUUGCCAGCAUUUAGUUGGGCACUCUAAGGUGACUGCCGGUGAUAAACCGGAGGAAGGUGGGGAUGACGUCAAAUCAUCAUGCCCCUUAUGACCUGGGCUACACACGUGCUACAAUGGACGAUACAAAGGGCUGCAAACCCGCGAGGGGGAGCCAAUCCCAUAAAAUCGUUCUCAGUUCGGAUUGUAGGCUGCAACUCGCCUACAUGAAGCCGGAAUCGCUAGUAAUCGUGGAUCAGCAUGCCACGGUGAAUACGUUCCC